AGGGCACCACCAGGAGUGGAGCCUGCGGCUUAAUUUGACUCAACACGGGAAAACUCACCCGGCCCGGACACUGGAAGGAUUGACAGAUUGAGAGCUCUUUCUUGAUUCAGUGGGUGGUGGUGCAUGGCCGUUCUUAGUUGGUGGAGUGAUUUGUCUGGUUAAUUCCGAUAACGAACGAGACUCUAGCCUACUAAAUAGAUCGUCGGCUUACAAACGCCGACGAGACUUCUUAGAGGGACAAACGGUGAUUCAACCGUACGAAACAGAGCAAUAACAGGUCUGUGAUGCCCUUAGAUGUCCGGGGCCGCACGCGCGCUACACUGAAGUGAUCAGCGUGCAUUUUCAGCCUACUCUGUCAAGAGUGGGAAACCCAAUGAACCUUCUUCGUGAUUGGGAUAGGGGAUUGUAAUUAUUCCCCUUGAACGAGGAAUUCCCAGUAAGCGCGAGUCAUAAGCUCGCGUUGAUUACGUCCCUGCCCUUUGUACACACCGCCCGUCGCUACUACCGAUUGAAUGUUUU
rnacentral:rRNA from 1 species